rnacentral:lncRNA from 1 species
GGGGUUGCUCGAGACGGGUCAUGCGAUAUCCAAACAUUUGGAGGGUGGUUUGGAUAGCAGCUAUUGUGGCUGCAAUAGGAUCCAAGGGAGCUUCGGUGUUGUUCUCCAUCUGCGGAUGCAAAAGAAGUGACAAAAACAGCAAGUAUCAACGAACGGAUAACAAUUGAAAUCGAACAAGAACAAACUGAAAAUCGACAAUUUUUUUUUUUUUUUGAACUUAACUAACGAUUAACUCAAACAACUACAAGAUUACUACUAACUAUUUUUUUUUUUGACUUAGAAUAAACGAAACAAUAGCUUAGAGGAAUGGAGAUGGAGUGAUACAACCUAGGGUGUAGAACCUUUCGGCUAUGAUACCAGAUGAUAUACGCUCCAAGGGUCACACGUACGCACGAACUAGGGUCGAUCGAGUUGGCCUUCGCUCUCUCUCGAUAAAACCGCAAACAAGACGAAACUCAAUGGAACAAGAUAGCUUAGGGGAAGCAAGGGGUUUCGAUCAACCAAGUAACAAGCUCACACGGAUUGAUUCAAGGGGAAACCACUCAAGAAUACUCGUGUAAGAACUCUCAACUCGCAAACGGC